rnacentral:rRNA from 1 species
GACGAACGCUGGCGGCGUGCUUAACACAUGCAAGUCGAACGGAAAGGCCCCUUUUGGGGUACUCGAGUGGCGCACGGGUGAGUAACACGUGAGUAACCUGCCCUUUACUUCGUGAUAACUUCAGGAAACUGUGGCUAAUACCGGAUAGGAAUCCUUGCUGCAUGGUGGGGGUUGGAAAGCUUCGGCGGUUUUGGAUGGACUCGCGGCUUAUCAGCUUGUUGGUGGGGUAGUGGCUUACCAAGGCUUUGACGGGUAGCCGGCCUGAGAGGGCGAACGGCCACAUUGGGACUGAGAUACGGCCCAGACUCCUACGGGAGGCAGCAGUGGGGAAUAUUGCACAAUGGGCGGAAGCCUGAUGCAGCAACGCCGCGUGCGGGAUGACGGCCUUCGGGUUGUAAACCGCUUUCAGCAGGGGAGAAGCUUGUGGUGACGGUACCUGCAGAAGAAGCACCGGCUAACUACGUG